UAGAGUUUGAUCCUGGCUCAGAACGAACGCUGGCGGCGUGCUUAACACAUGCUAGUCGAGUGCGCGCCUGUAGCAAUACAGGUGGCGCACGGCGCACGGGUGCGUAACACGUGGGUAAUCUGCCCUCUGAUGGGGAAUAACUCGCCGAAAGGCGAGCUAAUUCCGCAUAAUAUUCCGAGAACCUCGGUUUUUGGACUGAAAGGCGUAAGUCGUCGGAGGAGGAGCCCGCGCACGAUUAGCUAGUUGGUAGGGUAAUGGCCUACCAAGGCUUUGAUCGUUAGCUGGUCUGAGAGGAUGGCCAGCCACACUGGAACUGAGACACGGUCCAGACUCCUACGGGAGGCAGCAGUGGGGAAUCUUGCACAAUGGGCGAAAGCCUGAUGCAGCGACGCCGCGUGGGGGAUGAAGCUUCUCGGAGUGUAAACCCCUUUCGAUCCGGACGAAUGCCCGC
rnacentral:rRNA from 1 species